GAUGACAUGGAGCCCACUCAGCCUUGCCCAGCGCUGGGACUGAGAGUUUGAGAAGUCAUCCUGACUGGAAGACCUUCCCCAAGUCUAGGCAAGUGACUUAUGCCUGGCUGGGGAACCUCGGAGGUGAGGCAGGAGCAGCCCUGAACGCGGGCCCUGCCCCUCCUUCCUCCCACUCUCCAGAGGAAGUGUGCUAUUAUACUUCCACAUCUGCCAUGGACAUGGAAGGGAGGCAGGACGCCCAGCACGCCCGACGAAACAGACCUCUGCCCGCUGCUGGUGGACACAAUGCCGCGCAGUCAAGAAAAGUGAUGUUUCAGAAGACUUUGAAUGACCCAGAGGCAGCCUCUGUCCUUGUGCCCUAGGAGGUUGUGUGGGGAUGUUUCUCUUGUUUGGAUCAGGACCCAAUGUCCAGGAUGCCACUGUGGCUGCUACCAGAGAAUCUGGCAAGGUCUAUGGCCCCAUUGUCUCCUGCCCACCCUCCCGAGA
rnacentral:lncRNA from 1 species